rnacentral:rRNA from 1 species
UGCCAGACUCCUACGGGAGGCAGCAGUGGGGAAUAUUGCACAAUGGGGGAAACCCUGAUGCAGCGACGCCGCGUGAGCGAAGAAGUAUUUCGGUAUGUAAAGCUCUAUCAGCAGGGAAGAAAAAAUGACGGUACCUGACUAAGAAGCACCGGCUAAAUACGUGCCAGCAGCCGCGGUAAUACGUAUGGUGCAAGCGUUAUCCGGAUUUACUGGGUGUAAAGGGGGCGCAGACGGCGAUGCAAGCCAGGAGUGAAAGCCCGGGGCCCAACCCCAGGACUGCUCUUGGAACUGCGUGGCUGGAGUGCAGGAGGGGCAGGCGGAAUUCCUGGUGUAGCGGUGAAAUGCGUAGAUAUCAGGAGGAACACCGGUGGCGAAGGCGGCCUGCUGGACUGCAACUGACGUUGAGGCCCGAAAGCGUGGGGAGCAAACAGGAUUAGAUACCCCGGUAC